GCACACACCAUUUGGAGAAGAGAAGAGUCCAAGCAAGAUGUAGUCGACUUAGUAGAAUAGGGAGAGUGUGAGGUGAGAGUCUUGGCGAAAGCCAAAGUAAAGGAGCGGUGCCGAGUUCUCUCGGCCUUACUCCACUUUGUAAGCCACCUCAUAGGAAUGGAAUAUCUUCGGAGUGAAGUUCCUCGUCUCUCAUCGGUAUCUCGCUAGUCUUUCUCUUUACUUCAGUUACUUGUUUACUUUCUGUCAUUGAUCUGUGGGAUCCCUAGUCUGCGUAAGUAGCAAGCUCUACUUAUUUGAGAGUGCUUUCUGUCUUGCCGGGAGGUAGGAGUACGUAACUCGAUAAUGUUAGGCGUGGUGCCUAGACUUGGUUAGUUACAUAGGGUUGUGUUCCACCCCACGGAACCGUUGUGGUAGUCGGCAGGUGGUGACAGCCAUGUCCGUCCCUUGUAGUCCACCACGUUCGGGUGUUUUCAUAGCAGUAGUUGCAGGUUACCGUUGGACUCCCCUCUCAUCUCUUUCUGAAGUCCUUCCUCUUUCAGCCGCCGAAGCAGAUCAAGAUAGUUUAGUUGCAAGUCUUCCGGAUAAUAAGUUGGCUAACCGACGUUAGACCCUCUACCCACUUAUCUUUCUUCCCCUGGUGGGUCUGGUUGAACUAAUUCUAGGAUUGGUUGAAACUUUACCGUUUCUUGGAUUCGAUAUCCCAGGUAUACUCCCUGGUGAAAACUACAUCGGUCUCUGUGCACUUGCGGAGUAAUUCGUAUAGGCUAAGGAGUGCCAACAAGAUUUCUGGCGCUGCUGCCGGGGAACAGUAGCAACACUAGUCUAGAAUUCGUUCAGCUGUACACCUUUCCGCCCAUCCACAUGGAGUUCUACUCCUAGUUAUCCAGCAGUUCCAUCCCGCGAGUAUUUGGAACGGCCACCAUUCUACCAUCCCCCCUUUUAUCUGAUGGUUACGAGAUCAGUCCCAGUCUCGUAAAUCAUGGUUCGUGCAUAGUCCUUCUCUAUGAGAAAGGACAAGAAUCCCUGCUGGAAUUCAACCAUACCCGGUUGGAACCAAAACACCUUACGGUGAAGCUCUCCCCGUUCUCUCUGACGGGCGAAGCGAAAAUUUAGUACGACCAGACGGCAGGGAGAGCUGGAGGAGAUUGGAUCAACUUGAAGGAUGAAUUUUGCUCCCCUGCUACCAGAGUGUUCCCACUUGGAACAGCAUGGGAAAGAUCUUUGCUGACCGCAAAAUCCGGGACACCUCAUCGUAUCCCGGAAGAUGCUAAAGCAACACCUCGUUGGUUUUUGGAGCCCCGUUUUCCACUCAAACCAACUGAACACCCUAUCAGCUGCAUCCUCUCACCUCCACCACAUAUAGUGGAAAUUACCGAACCAAUCAAGUCCACAAAUUAUGAGCAAUGCAUUGAUGAUACGCCAAUGCUCAUCAUGACCUCGGUCAUGUUUCAAACAUGCCGAAGGAGCAUAAGUGCAUAUGCUCAAGAUCUGAGGCAUUCAUUCUAGAUGCUACAUCACAGAUUGAGGGUCUUACUGUGAUCACUAGCAAGGAAUGGAUAGAGGAGCAGAAUUCGAUUCUUGAAAACUCCUCUGCACUAUUGGGGACGCUGUACCACAAGAGAACUUCUACAAUCCGAAGGAAAUCAUGUCCUUCUCUCGUAAGCACCCGAAGUGGAUCGACGGCCAGAUGAUGGAAAGUAAGGAGAUUUUUCCAUGUUAUGUCCCUAAAGAUGGGGCGUAACAAGAUCUUUCCGGAUUUCCACAUCUUCGAUAUCCCCGAAGGUGAUAAGUUCUCUUGAUCGGUCAGCCAAUGGAGCCACUUGUCAACUCCUAUGGAUUCCGAGCUACUCUUCAUAGCUCGAGGUUGACAAAAAGAAGAUCCCGGUCAGUCUAGUCUAUUCAGGCAAUACAAAAUAUUAGACCGGAGCAAGACCCAAUGGAGAAGGCAAUAAACAUCUCUAAAGAAGAUGCCUUUCAAUUCACUUAGGAAAUAGAUCUGGGCGGCCACCUCAAGCUCAACGAAGAAGAAAAACCGCAACAUUUUCUUCUUGGGCUGAAACCGCUGCCUACUAGGCUGAAGAACGCCUUCCUCCAACAUCAACAAUAGCAUGCCAGUCUUCAUCAGCGACAAGCUGAUAGAGAGUGAGACUUGGCUGCUCGUUGCAGUCCUAGAGAAGUACCGGUCCGUCAUCGGGUAUUCUCUCCAGGACUAGAAAGGGGAUCAACCCCGAUUUGUGCUCCCAUUGCAUUUUUAUGGAACCGGACCAUAAGUCAUCCUGAGAGCACCAGUGAUGGCUGAACAAUGCGAUGAGGAAGGUAGUGAACCAAGAGGUAUUAAUACUACUGCACGCGGGCGUCAUCAAUCCCAUGUAAGACAGUGUUUUGGUUAGCCUAGUUCAAGUGGUCCCAAAGAAGGAAGCAAUCACCUCUGAGUAGAGCGCUCAUAUCCCAGAGGGAAGUCAUCAAGGACGUGUAUCGAUAGUCAACAAGACUAUCUGAAAUGACCACUAUCCUCUCCCCAUCUUUGACGAGAUGCUUGAACGGCUGGCUAAGCACUCAUUCUUCCAAUACCUUGACAAAUAUUCUGGUCAUCACCAAAUUCGUAUGACCAAGUAAGACUACCUUCACUUGUCCAUACAGCACAUUCGCCUACCGGUGAAUGUUGUUGGUCUUUGCAACGCACCUGCUUUACUUCAGAGGUGUAAGAUGGCGACCUUCUCUGACCAAAUUGAGAGCAUCAUGAAGGGUUUCAUGGAUGACUUCUCAGUCCUUGGCAAAGAUUACCUUGAGAAUUUAGACAAAGUUCUCAAAAAUUGCCAAGAAACACACUUUGACCUUAAUUGGGAGAAGUGUCUCUUUAUGGUCAGAGAAAAGCUUGUCCUCGGACAUUGAGUGCCAUAAGACACUCGUUUCUUCACCCAUCAUGCAUCCUCCCAAUUCGAAAUUUCCUUUCGAGACCACGUGCGGUGCAAAUGACUACGCCGUCGAAAUAGUGCCAGGUCCAUGCAAGGAUAAUCAGCAUUAGGACAAAUCUUAUGCAAGUAAGACAUUGACCGGAGCUCAGUUAUGCAACAAUGGAGAAGGAAUUUCAGGCAUUGGUAUUUGCCUUAAGUUCAGAUCCUACUUGGUUGGUGCUAAGGAGAUAGCAUACUCGGAUCCUGCUACACUAAAGCACAUGUGAUCAAGAAGGAAGACAAGCAACGACUCAUCCGUUGGAUUCUGCUCCUACAAGAAUUUGAUCUGGAAAUCAGAGAUAAGGAAGGAGCAGAAAAUUGUGUGGCUGCUCAUCUCGCAAGAAUUCAAGAAACCGAUUGACUUCUCAAGAGAUGAUACUCUUCUGGAGAUCACUAUAUUCAGUCCAAGGUAUUAGAACUAAGUGAAUUUUAUGGAGACUGGAUAUAUAUCUCUAGAUGAAGACAAGAAGAAGUUAUAUUCACCUCAGCAAAUACCACCCUUGGGAGAACCCCUAUCUAUUGAAGUCUGUGCUAUUGGUUUACUCCAAUCGCUGCAUCCCGCUUUGUGAGACACGCGAGACUCUUGAGCGUGCUACUUCUUACCAUAAGGAUGACACUACGGAGUAUUCCGUAUCCAUGCUUAGGUUUGGCAGAAUGCAUAAUUCUAGCCAACCAAGUUUUAAGACGCUAAAGAAUUGGUACGGUGCCCAAGAUGUCAGAUGCUACGCCACUGAAGAGCAACCUUCAGUUGGAAGUAAUCGACAUAUGGGGAGUUCACUUUGUGAGUCUUUCCCUAUAUCAGAGCACGUGCAUCUUGGCAGCCAUGGACAAUUUGUCCAAAUGGAUGAAGCACUUCCUGUGUUGCGGCCGACUCGAAGAAUUCAAAGAAGAUGAUACAGGAAAUCACAUUUCCUUGCUUUGAAUUUCCAAGAGUCAUGUUUGGUAGUGAAGACUCACACUUCACAAGACAAGACCUGCAAGAAGUGUCUCAGCGAGUUGAGAGUAAAACCAUCGGGCUGCUACUCCAUACCAUCCCUAUACCAAUGGCCAGGCAGAAACAUCUAACAAGAAGACCAGAAACAUUCUGCAGAAGAUAGUGAAUGCCAUGGGGAAAGGAUGGAAUAGCAUGAUACCCGAGGCACUCUGGACAUAUUGAACAUCCAUCAAGACACCAAUAGGACAAACAUAGAACCAGCUGAUCUAUGGCAAAACUUGCCAUAUACCAGUUGACCUUAAGUUCAGAUCCCAUGGGGCAAUUAAGAGGUGAAUAAUGGAUCUCCAAUCAGCCAGGGUUAAAAAGAAAAUCCAAUAGGCUGAAUUGGAUGAAUGGAGGAAGAAGGCCUGCCACAGCUCCAAUCUCUACAGGAAGCAGAUGAAAAGAUGAUACGAUAAGCGGACUAAGAUCAAGCAUUUCAAAGUGGAAAAUAAGCUAUUCUUCUCUAUUUCCCGCCUUCAUUUGCUCGGUCUAGUAAGCUUAGAAGUAAGUGGAAAGGGCCUUGUCUAGUGAACCCUCCAGGACAAUGACGGGAAUAUUGAAAAUGUUCCUCAAGCCCAAACCACCGGAACUCAAAGAAAUAGACGUCUUCGAGUUAUCCGAGCUAGAGCCCCUGUCUAUGGUCAUCGCCAGACCUUAAAUGUGCCUUACCCUAGUCUAGGAUAAUGGGUGCCAAUUUAUUUCUCAAAUUUUGUUUCAGUAGCGCCCAGUUAUGUUUGAAAAAAAAACUAAAAUAAAAUGAAAUAAAUGCUUCAUGCUUGUGCUUUGGUUGUUUGGUGCACAUUUGUGUGCCAACCAACCUCCCCUAUUCUAAUAUUUUCAUCAAGUGCAUAGAUGAACAUCAUGAACAACACUGAGACGGACUUCUUGGUAAAGUUGAGCAAAAUUUGAUGCAACUUAAGAUCAGGUAGCUAGAUUAGACCUGUGCCUAACCAAAACAUCGACAUGACAACUCGUCACGGAGGUUUGUGACCCCAUAUUUCUUUUCCUUCCUGAUUUUCAUUCAAAUUAGUUCUAAAUGAAAUAAAUUAAAAUUUGAAUGAAACUCUUGGAAAGAUGAAUUCUCACAUGACUUCCAAAGGUGCCUAAGUUUUAUUUUUUAUGCGAGUACUCGUUACCUUUGGAACUUAUUACAUGAUAGGAUCACUUAAAUUUUUGUUUAUUGACCAUCAUGAUAUAAUGAAAUGAGAGACAUGUUCUUUCUAAUUCAAAGUCUUGGUGUGUUUCUUUAAAAAGCUAAAAAGAGGCAACUCUCAUUCACUUUUAACUAUAUAAAGUCCUAUCCAGAGCCAUACACGAAUAGAAUUGAACCCACAUAGCUAUCUUUUGACAUUUUGAGCUUGAUCAAACAUCAUUGCCUUUCGAGAAAUGUCAUGGUCAUCGAGUACUUUGGUCAUCCACUAUGCAUGUUCAUUAAUAAAGUCCAUCAAAAGUGGUUCACCAAAAGCUCUCCAUCCCCUUGAAAAAAAAGAGUGAGCAAUAAUCUUACUCGAACAAAAAAAAAGAGGACAAAGGGGAAGAAUGGAGAGGCCAAAGUCAAACACCACUCAAAAGGACAUUCAUUCCUCACACACACAUGCACAUGACCAAGUUCUAAAGGUGACAUGAUCUCUCAAAGACAAGAUCUUUGAUCUUGCAAAAUAAAUGACAAAGAUAUGCAAGUUUAUCCCUACCUUGAGCUACACAAAAGCCUUCUUAAACUUAGUAGAGGUUUUCUCUAAAGACCUUAGUGAGGUUCAAACACAAAUUGAGGGACUAAGAGUGAGUUGAAAGAGAUGAGAGCCUACCUCCUGUUUUGAAAAUCUUGCAAAACCUCCAAAUAUAGAGAAAAGGAAGUGAAUCAUGUUCUCCAUCGAGUUGUUCUGGGGAUCAAUAUUCGAAGGUGAUGGUGUUAGCCACCCGGAAUCCAAGGUAUGAGGAAAGUUUAGAAAUAAAUCUUAUGCAUUCUUUGAGUUCAUGAAACCAGGCUUCGCUCUUUUCCGACCUUAUUGCUCGUGGCGAGCAAAAUCUGGCUAUGGGGGUGUGUUGGUGGUCGAUAUUGGUGAUUUUCGCCGCCAACACUCUACCAGAUUCAUGAAAGACAAGCCAUACUCAUGCCAAAUUAUCUUAUAUUAACAAGUUCUAUGAGUUUUGGUGAGUAUUUGAAUGCAGGAACAACAUGUACGAAAUUUGGCCAAAAUGGGAGAAAACCCAGGCCGGCCGGCCUAUCAACCUAGCAAUUCAGGCUCAUCUUUGGCCAGAGUGCUCAUGAGUGCAAAUACAAGAAAACCCAAUGUGAUUUUAUACAAAAUGCACAAACCAAGACCGAAAGGCUUGAGCCAUGACAAGUUGGGUCCACAUGCAGUGAGCAAAUUCAGAACAAGUCCUAAACCGACUUGAGGAGGAAAAUACAAGCGUUGAUUGGCAUGUCAGUGGAACGGAGGGUCGAGGGGGGACAACCCCAGGCCGGCCGGCCUAGGCCGGGCCGCCCGGCCCCUAACUGCCUCGCUUCGGACCAAGCCAAUGCAAUUGACUUCAUCAGGCAAUCAGGAGUGUCCACAGAAAGGCAGCACAAAUUUGACGGAGAUCCUAGGCCGGUCGGCCUAGGGGAGGCCGGCCGGCCUGGCCUUUUUGCGCCACAUGUGCAGCCUUUUAGAGGGAGUUACAACCGUCAUGUGUGCAUCCCACAAGUGGAAGUUACAACCGCCAUGCAUGUGUGGACAGCUUUGCUUUCAAGCCAAGCCAACCUUAGCUUAGCUUACAAGCUAAGCAACCUUAGCCUUGCUUACAAGCUAAGCAACCCACCUUGGAGGCCUAUAAAAGGGAGCCCCCACCUCUCAUUCAGCACACACCAUUUGGAGAGGAGAAGAGACCAAGCAAGAUGUAGUCCCACUUAGUAGAAUAGGGAGAGUGUGAGGUAAGAGUCUUGGGGAAAGUCAAGGUAAAGGAGCGGUGCCGAGUUCUCUCGGCCUUACUCCAUUUUGUAAGCCACCUCGGAGGAAUGGAAUAUCUCCGGAGUGAAGUUCCUCGUCUCUCGUCGAGAAAGAAGUCACACUGGUGCAAAAAUACAGAAGCUCUUGGCAAGCUACCUUUACUGCCUACUAGAAGAAUUUGUGGACAUGUUGGAGUUGCUCGUGGAGCUGUGUCCUUUAAGAAUAAGUUUUAAGCUCUAGCGUAGUUGUUUACAUACUAUGUUAUGUUAAUGUCAAGACACUGUCGGUUAACAAUCUACCUUUCUUCUGGAGCUCUCAUGUGAUCACUCACCAUUUUAAUACGGAUUACAUAGUACUGUCCUACCUAUUCUUCCUGUUGUUGUUAAUUCUGCCUCUCCUUUCUUUCUCCACUGCUGAAUUUUGAUGUUGUUAUAUAUGGUUGGCAUUUAUUGUUAUGCUGUCCAUCUGAGCCGCUGAUCUUCCUCUGCUACGUAAAUCAAACAGGUAUAGAGAAUGAACAUUUUUAGGAAAAAUGAAUGCAAUACAUUCUUUUUUGGGAGUCUUGGAUUACAGGCGUUAAUCUGUCAUCAUGCUCUUAUUUUACCCCCUUCCCCUUCUCUAUGCUUUCUUUUUCUGUUCUCACCUUUUGAGGACAGUAAUCUGUCAUGUUGUUCUUAUUUUACUCCUUUCCUCUUAACAUGCUGUCUUUUUUGUUCUCUCCUUGUAAGAAAUAUUGACUCUAGUGUUUCCACUAACGUUUCCUUAGCUGAGCUUGAAACAUCUUUCUAGGGGUUGUUGAUGACAUGGAUUAGAAAAGCAUGCAUUCUAGCUCUUGGGCCACUUUCAUUAUUGCUCUCCGACUAACUUUUGUUUGGGUUUAAUAAGGUUAGUUGUGUGGAAUGAUGAGCCCGUGGGGGCAAGGGAAAGGGCAAGCGUGGACAAUCAUGAGAUCUCAUCUGAUUUAAGCAUUGUUGAAUAUGACCACUUCUUGUGUCGGGCCUUAUCAGAGAAGUACAUUUCCAUGGCCAUGCCUGAGAUUUUUGUGGUGCUAAAUGUGGGGAUAAACGAUAUUUAAUCAGUGGUCCGGAACAGCAUGAGAAAUCCAUAGGGAAGGAAUGAAGGUGGCCUAGCCUAUCUGAAUUAGUUGGAACAGAAGAACAGGACCAGCCACAUGCGUGCACAUGGCUUAGAGACCCCACAUCUGCAUGGACUUCCAACUGGAUUUGGAUAUGCAUGUAGCUGCAAACAAAACUUGAUUUGCUGUGUUAAAUCUGGUCGAAAAGUAAUCUGUACACUGAAAAGGAAAUGAAGUUUUUAUAGGUGAAGACCUAGUUCCUUUGCUGUGUCUGCAUUUUGAAUUUUGAGCAUCUAUAGUUUUUGUUGGUUCUGGUUUCCAUUGCUAGAGGUAGAGAGGUUUUGAGUCAUUCUGUGUUAACCUUUGCUGUGAAGUAUUUGAAUCCACCUUUCCUGUGCAGUGGCAGUGUGGCACCCACCCACAUCAGAAGUUCAGUGAGAGAAUAAAAGGAGAUACUUGAACUGAUUGCGCUGAAAUAGUGAAGCCUCAGCAGUGCAGAAGGCCUGCCCUUUUGUGGUUGUGAUAAAGGGUGCUGAUCAUGUGAAGGGAAGUGCUGACGAUGGAUAUGUUGAUGGUUCCAGGCUAAUGCCAAGCACAUGCUACAUGGGCUGCGACUUGUCUAUGGUGGAUAGUCCAAAUCAUAGCAUCGCAGGGACACAUGCUCACACAUGGAUGGGCUCCAGGUGCUGCAAUAAAGCCACGCAACCCCUCGGAGCUGUAUCAUUAAGGUAAAGGUGUCUUGAUGCCACUUUAUUAUGAUGGUCAUAUCAUUGUACGCGCACUAAGCGGUUGUGUGUUGAUACCAGAUUACUUCUGAGAUACUUCUAAUUUUCGACAAGAUUGGUUAUCGAGCUUGCAAAAGAUAGGGGCAGUACGAUUGUCGUCCGUGCCUUUAAUCCUGUUUGGCUGCAUCUUUAGGCAGCUGUGCGGCUUGAUGUUCCCAGGAUACAUGCUUGCUAAGUAGAUGGUUAAUCUGAGCCAAGUUGAUUUGCUGCCAA